UCAAUCUCUGGAGAAGAGGAUGACAGGAACCAUUACGAAAAUAACUUCCAGAUGUAUGUAAGUUGAACCCUGGAAUUAUUGUGCUUGACGUAAACAUCCUUCGAGUAGAAGAAAUGCAAGGCCGUGCCACCACCAUCUGCAACCCUAUAGCUGUCAAUGCACCCAUUUUUAUUCGAACACUACCAAAAAAUAAAAGCAACCUCUCAAUGUGCGCUAGCUGUGGACGGAUUGAAG
rnacentral:misc_RNA from 1 species